rnacentral:rRNA from 1 species
UACGUAGGGGGCGAGCGUUGUCCGGAAUUACUGGGCGUAAAGGGUGCGUAGGCGGCGGCUUAAGUUGGAUGUGAAAUCCCCGGGCUUAACCUGGGUGGUGCAUUCAAAACUGGGCGGCUAGAGUACAGGAGAGGGAAGCGGAAUUCCUAGUGUAGCGGUGAAAUGCGUAGAUAUUAGGAGGAACACCAGUGGCGAAGGCGGCUUUCUGGACUGUAACUGACGCUGAGGCACGAAAGCGUGGGGAGCAAACAGG